UACGAAGGGGGCUAGCGUUGCUCGGAUUGACUGGGCGUAAAGGGCGCGUAGGCGGUUCGUACAGUCAGACGUGAAAUUCCUGGGCUCAACCUGGGGGCUGCGUUUGAUACGUGCGGACUUGAAUGCGGAAGAGGGUCGUGGAAUUCCCAGUGUAGAGGUGAAAUUCGUAGAUAUUGGGAAGAACACCGGUGGCGAAGGCGGCGACCUGGUCCGAUACUGACGCUGAGGCGCGAAAGCGUGGGGAGCAAACAGG
rnacentral:rRNA from 1 species